rnacentral:ncRNA from 1 species
AUACUAAUACUGGAGUCAUUUGAGGCUCCGUAAUUCGAAUGAGUACAGUUUAAAUCCUCUAACGAAGACCAGUUGGAGGGAAAGUCUGUUGCCAGCAGCCGCGGUAACUCCAGCUCAAA